AUUGAACGCUGGCGGCAGGCCUAACACAUGCAAGUCGAGCGGAUGAAGGGAGCUUGCUCCUGGAUUCAGCGGCGGACGGGUGAGUAAUGCCUAGGAAUCUGCCUGGUAGAGGGGGAUAACGUAAGGAAACGGGCGCUAAUACCGCAUACGUCCUGAGGGAGAAAGUGGGGGAUCUUCGGACCUCACGCUAUCAGAUGAGCCUAGGUCGGAUUAGCUAGUUGGUGGGGUAAAGGCCUACCAAGGCGACGAUCCGUAACUGGUCUGAGAGGAUGAUCAGUCACACUGGAACUGAGACACGGUCCAGACUCCUACGGGAGGCAGCAGUGGGGAAUAUUGGACAAUGGGCGAAAGCCUGAUCCAGCCAUGCCGCGUGUGUGAAGAAGGUCUUCGGAUUGUAAAGCACUUUAAGUUGGGAGGAAGGGCAGUAAGUUAAUACCUUGCUGUUUUGACGUUACCAACAGAAUAAGCACCGGCUAACUUCGUG
rnacentral:rRNA from 1 species